UACGUAGGGUGCGAGCGUUGUCCGGAAUUAUUGGGCGUAAAGAGCUCGUAGGCGGUCUGUCGCGUCGGUCGUGAAAACUUGGGGCUUAACCCUGAGCUUGCGGUCGAUACGGGCAUGACUGGAGUUCGGCAGGGGAGACUGGAAUUCCUGGUGUAGCGGUGAAAUGCGCAGAUAUCAGGAAGAACACCAAUGGCGAAGGCAGCUCUCUGGGACGGUACUGACGCUGAGACGCGAAAGCGUGGGGAGCGAACAGG
rnacentral:rRNA from 1 species